rnacentral:snRNA from 1 species
AGAUAUGAGGGUUAUCUGACUGCAGUAUGUGUCACCCAAGAUUGCCAAGAUUGAUUCAGCCAAUUUGGCGAGCUGGGCAGGUAUCCCUUUCCUCCCUCACUGUUCCAUGUACAUCUGUCCCAAAAUUGUGUGCUCAGUCCAAGAGGACAACUUUCCCUGAUGGAGGAGGACUGUUCUUUGUUCUUUGGUCAGGGGUAUACUAGUAGCUUCAGUGUCCUGCCAGAACCUGCAAAUAAGCUCUCAAAGUCCAUUUAGCUGCGAUUGCAGAUGCGUGCCAUCAUGGCUGGCUGUAU